GCCACCCCUGGCGUAUGGGGGAGGGGACAGGCUGUGGGGGUGUCCGAUGCUGUGGAGGAGGAGCCUACUUUUGUGGGUGCCGCAGGUGUGUGUUACAGGAGACAGGCUGUGGAGGAGACAGACUCUGUGGGUAUGCCCGGCCCGUGGGGCACAGGAUACUCUGUUGGGGUGCCCUGUGCUACUGAAGAGGAAACUAGAUGUGGAGGAAUGGUUUUAGGGAAGACUGUUGCCGGAUGACAAGGCUGUCACUAUUGUUCUGUACUACCUGACAUUAUGGGACCAGGCCAGCCAGCUUCAACCUGUGUUCAUCUAGCACCUAGGACCCAACUUGAUGGGAGGAGCGACCCCAAAGUACUUCAGACCCAGAACCAGCUGCAGUUUAAUAGGAAUGUUCCUACACAUUCAAGCAACUUGGCGAUCCGAUAUUCUUGCCCACAUGCCAUUAGAAUUGAAAAACUGAAGCACUCAUACAAUGAAUCAUACCAUUGUAAAGAUGCAGAUUGUAGAGUUGGUCCUGACCUAGGCAGUUCUGUUUCAUUUUCCGUCAUAUCCCAAGAGAGACUUAGCUAUGCUGUCCACCUAGCCAGAAGAGAUGUGAAACGAAGACAAUUUGAAAAACAUAUAAAAGAACAUCAUCUCAGAAGUCAGCCUCAAAGCUCUCAGAAGUGUGGACAUACUAAGUAUAAAAUACCCGACCACAGGGUGGAAAGGAAGGAAUCAAAGAGUCAAGCAGCCUGUCAGUGCAGCCACCAGCCAUCCAAAGUAGAAAUCUCCAGCUCCGGUGCCAAAGUAUACCUUUACUCAUCUCAUCCAGGCCAGUCAGAUCUUACUGUGCCAAAUUCGCCACCCACCCAUGAUCCGGGACUUCAGCCUCAUCCCAGGAUAGGUGACCACAAAAACAUAAGUGAACAGAAAAGCCUGCUAGAAGUCCAGCGACUCCAGAAAGAACUGAGUAGUUGUAUCCACAAAAUUGAAGAGGUAACUAAAAAAGUGUCAGCCUGUGGCAUGGACCCCUACCUACUUUGAUUGGAAGCCCUGCGACGAGGGGAACAAAGCCACAAGGCCCACUGCUCUGGUGAUCUGGCCUAAUACCGGGGAACUGUUAGAACAGAGCUUUCAAAGUCUCUGUGGGGAAGGACUGGGUUGGUUUAUUUUAUUUACAUGAAUUUUCAGUGUGUCAUAAGUCAAUACUUUGUGAACUAUAAUAAAAAUG
rnacentral:lncRNA from 1 species